rnacentral:rRNA from 1 species
CUGGGCUACACACGUGCUACAAUGGACGAUACAAACGGUUGCCAACUCGCGAGAGGGAGCUAAUCCGAUAAAGUCGUUCUCAGUUCGGAUUGUAGGCUGCAACUCGCCUACAUGAAGCCGGAAUCGCUAGUAAUCGCGGAUCAGCAUGCCGCGGUGAAUACGUUCCCGGGCCUUGUACACACCGCCCGUCACACCACGAGAGUUUGUAACACCCGAAGUCGGUGGGGUAACCUUUUGGAGCCAGCCGCCGAAGGUGGGAUAGAUGAUUGGGGUGAAGUCGUAACAAGGUAGCCGUAUCGGAAGGUGCGGUUGGAUCACCUCC